CCUGGACACUGGAUUGGAAACUGGCAAGGAAGUAACCAAAUUUACUCACGUAGGCCAGGAAUUUCUAUGACGUGUUCCAAAUUCAGCCUCUCACUGAACACUUCCAGAGCAAGGCAACAUAAACAUCUGCAAGAAGAACAUUGUGUGAGAAAUAUCAAGUGAGAGUGGAAGAGUCUGCGGAGGGCCUCCCUGGGGCUCACCUGUGCUUUUGCCUGAGCUUCACCGUGUCAAGGAUGCAGCACUUUUUCCCUCUGGAGGAAGCAGCUUUCACCUUGGAAGAAUCUUGACCUUGCCAUUCAAAGUCACCAGACAGGGAAUCUGCCAGUGCCUUGAUCUUAGACUUCCCAGCUUCUGUAACUGUGAGCAAUAAAUGUAUGCUGCUUAUAAACUAUCCAGUCUCAUGCAUUUUGUUAUAGCAAUA
rnacentral:lncRNA from 1 species